UACGGAGGGGGCGAGCGUUAUUCGGAAUUAUUGGGCGUAAAGGGCGCGUAGGCGGCUGUACAAGUCAAAGGUGAAAUCCCUCGGCUCAACUGAGGAACUGCCUUUGAAACUGUACGCUUGAGGCCGGGAGGGGGUAGCGGAAUUCCCAGUGUAGCGGUGAAAUGCGUAGAUAUUGGGAGGAACACCAGUGGCGAAGGCGGCUACCUGGACCGGUUCUGACGCUGAGACGCGAAAGCGUGGGUAGCAAACAGG
rnacentral:rRNA from 1 species